GUAGGUGGCAAGCGUUGUCCGGAUUUACUGGGCGUAAAGAGCGCGCAGGCGGUCGAAUAAGUCGAAUGUGACAGCCCCCGGCUCAACUGGGGAGGGUCAUUCGAUACUGCUCGACUUGAAGGCAGGAGAGGGUAGUGGAAUUCCCGGUGUAGUGGUGAAAUGCGUAGAUAUCGGGAGGAACACCAGUGGCGAAGGGGACUACCUGGCCUGUUCUUGACGCUGAGGUGCGAAAGCUGGGGCAGCAAACGGGAUUAGAUACCCCGGUAGUCCCAGCCGUAAACGAUGGACACUAGGUGUUGGUGGUAUCAACCCCGCCAGUGCCGUAGCUAACGCAUUAAGUGUCCCGCCUGGGGAGUACGGCCGCAAGGCUA
rnacentral:rRNA from 1 species